rnacentral:lncRNA from 1 species
AUGUCAAGUCAAGCACUUGAGUGGCAGAUUUACUCUGUGUCCAUUGCUCAUUAUAAUAAGGGCAAUCUAUUUGCUCAUGACAUUUCCUCUCAUUUAGGCUACCGAUUGAGUAUUGGGCACAAUUGUGGUGGGCUAGAUCAAAGUGCUAACUGGAUAGUGGUCUUGGACACUGAAAAGUUAAAUGGAGGGUGGAUGCUCGCCGUGCUCUUAUUGACCGGCCUUGGCUUGAUCAGCUCUGAGAGGCGUGACCGAGAGACGCAGUCAAAGCCAAUUACUGAGAAACGGAGGGAACAAUGGUGUCUGAACCAGCAGAAUGGCUUCACUGCCCCAGCUGUUAGUCAUACUUUACUUUUAAGCACAAGAUGAGUUGCAGCACCUGACUAUGACUCUUUGGUCAGUCCAGCAGAGGGUUGGGAUCAUAUGCUUCACGUCUAACAUGUUACUGGUACCUUAGAAUGGGGUAUGAAAUGGUAUAUGUUUCUUGCAUGUUAGAAGAAAUGGCCCUUGUGUGUUGGC